UGAGCCUUUAAUAACUAUGGUUGACAUGCGGAUUAGGUAAAUGUUCACUGAUGCAAAUCAAUAACCAAAAUUAUGUCGUUGUAACUCCUGCAGUUAUUGUAAAUCUAUGAAAUUUGUAUAUCCUAGUCAUUUUGCAGGUAAUGAAACAAAAUUGACAUUUCAAAAUGAUCAUUGUAAGAAAUUAAGCACUAUUUUUUUUUUGAUGUGCUAAAUUUAUUUGAUUUGCUUUUCAAUGCCUAAACAAAUUCCCAAUUAAAG
rnacentral:misc_RNA from 1 species